GAUAAACGCUGGCGGCGCACAUAAGACAUGCAAGUCGAACGAACUUAAUUCGAAUGUUUACAUUUGGAAGCGGUUAGUGGCGGACUGGUGAGUAACACGUAAGCAACCUGCCUAUCAGAGGGGAAUAACAGUGAGAAAUCAUUGCUAAUACCGCAUAUGCUGUGAGUAUCGCAUGAUACAAACAGGAAAGGAGCAAUCCGCUGAUAGAUGGGCUUGCGUCUGAUUAGAUAGUUGGUGGGGUAAUGGCCUACCAAGUCGACGAUCAGUAGCCGGACUGAGAGGUUGAACGGCCACAUUGGGACUGAGAUACGGCCCAGACUCCUACGGGAAGGCAGCAGUCGGGAAUAUUGCACAAUGGAGGAAACUCUGAUGCAGUGACGCCGCGUGCAGGAAGAAGGUUUUCGGAUUGUAAACUGCUUUAGAUAGGGAAGAUAAAAGACUGUACCUAUAGAAUAAGCUCCGGCUAACUACGUGCCAGCCGCCGCGGUAACAC
rnacentral:rRNA from 1 species